AGAUUGAACGCUGGCGGCAUGCCUUACACAUGCAAGUCGAACGGCAGCACGGGAGCAAUCCUGGUGGCGAGUGGCGAACGGGUGAGUAAUAUAUCGGAACGUGCCCAGUCGUGGGGGAUAACGCAGCGAAAGCUGUGCUAAUACCGCAUACGAUCUAUGGAUGAAAGCGGGGGAUCGCAAGACCUCGCGCGAUUGGAGCGGCCGAUAUCAGAUUAGCUAGUUGGUGGGGUAAAAGCCUACCAAGGCGACGAUCUGUAGCUGGUCUGAGAGGACGACCAGCCACACUGGAACUGAGACACGGUCCAGACUCCUACGGGAGCAGCAGUGGGAAUUUGGACAAUGGGCGCAAGCCUGAUCCAGCAAUGCCGCGUGCAGGAUGAA
rnacentral:rRNA from 1 species